GGGAUAGCCUUUCGAAAGGAAGAUUAAUCCCCCAUAAUAUAAGAAACGGCAUCGUUUUUUAUUGAAAACUCCGGUGGAUAGAGAUGGGCACGCGCAAGAUUAGAUAGUUGGUGAGGUAACGGCUCACCAAGUCUACGAUCUUUAGGGGGCCUGAGAGGGNGAUCCCCCACACUGGUACUGAGACACGGACCAGACUCCUACGGGAGGCAGCAGUGAGGAAUAUUGGACAAUGGGUGAGAGCCUNAUCCAGCCAUGCCGCGUGCAGGAUGACUGCCCUAUGGGUUGUAAACUGCUUUUGUAUAGGGAUAAACCUNNNNUNGUGAGGGNAGCUGAAGGUACUAUACGAAUAAGCACCGGCUAACAUACGGAGGGUGCCAGCGUUAUCCGGAUUUAUUGGGUUUAAAGGGUCCGUAGGCGGAUUUGUAAGUCAGUGGUGAAAUCUCACAGCUUAACUGUGAAACUGCCAUUGAUACUGCAAGUCUUGAGUGUUGUUGAAGUAGCUGGAAUAAGUAGUGUAGCGGUGAAAUGCAUAGAUAUGUCUUAGAACACCAAUUGCGAAGGCAGGUUACUAAGCAACAACUGACGCUGAUGCACGAAAGCGUGGGGAGCGAACAGGAUUAGAUACCCUGGUAGUCCACGCCCUAAACGAUGCUGACUCGUUUUUGGCCUUUUAAGAUUCAGAGACUAAGCGAAAGUGAUAAGUUAGCCACCUGGGGAGUACGCUUGCAAGAAUGAAACUCAAAGGAAUUGACGGGGGCCCGCACAAGCGGUGGA
rnacentral:rRNA from 1 species